rnacentral:tRNA from 1 species
GCCCCGGUAGCUCAACUGGAUAGAGUGUGUGGCUUCGGACCACAAGGUUAGGGGUUCAAAUCCUCUCCGGGGCA